rnacentral:rRNA from 1 species
AUUGAACGCUGGCGGCAGGCCUAACACAUGCAAGUCGAGCGGAUGAAGGGAGCUUGCUCCUGGAUUCAGCGGCGGACGGGUGAGUAAUGCCUAGGAAUCUGCCUGGUCGUGGGGGAUAACGUCCGGAAACGGGCGCUAAUACCGCAUACGUCCUGAGGGAGAACGGGGUGGAUCUUUGGACCUCACGCUAUCUGAUGAGCCUAGGUCGGAUUAGCUAGUUGGUGGGGUAAAGGCCUACCAAGGCGACGAUCCGUAACUGGUCUGAGAGGAUGAUCAGUCACACUGGAACUGAGACACGGUCCAGACUCCUACGGGAGGCAGCAGUGGGGAAUAUUGGACAAUGGGCGAAAGCCUGAUCCAGCCAUGCCGCGUGUGUGAAGAAGGUCUUCGGAUUGUAAAGCACUUUAAGUUGGGAGGAAGGGCAGUAAGUUAAUACCUUGCUGUUUUGACGUUACCAACAGAAUAAGCACCGGCUAACCACGUG